ensembl:misc_RNA Metazoa_SRP Metazoan signal recognition particle RNA
GCUAAGUAUAGUGGUGCAUACUUGUAAUUUCUGCAGCAGAGGUGGCCGAAGAUGGUGGAUCACUUGAGCUUGGGAGUUCUGAGCUGUAGUGGAUUGAGCCAUUGGGUGUCUGCACUAAGUUCAGCAUCAACAGGGGGAGCCCCUGGAAAGGGGGGACAUAAGUCUACCUAAGGAGGGGUGAACCAACCCAAAUCAGAAAUGGAGCAGGUCAAAGCUUCCAUUCUAAUCAGUAGUGGCAUUGGGCCUAGGAGUGACCACUGUAUUUCCAGCCUGGGCAAUAUAGUGGAAGGA